rnacentral:rRNA from 1 species
CCUACGGGUGGCAGCAGUGAGGAAUAUUGGUCAAUGGGCGAGAGCCUGAACCAGCCAAGUCGCGUGAGGGAGUACUGCCCUAUGGGUUGUAAACCUCUUUUGUCGGGGAGCAAAAGCCGGACGUGUCCGGCUGUGAGAGUACCCGAAGAAAAAGCAUCGGCUAACUCCGUGCCAGCAGCCGCGGUAAUACGGAGGAUGCGAGCGUUAUCCGGAUUUAUUGGGUUUAAAGGGUGCGCAGGCGGUUUUUUAAGUCAGCGGUAAAAUCGUGGGGCUCAACCCCAUCCAGCCGUUGAAACUGGGGAUCUAGAGUGUGCGAGAGGUAUGCGGAAUGCGGGGUGUAGCGGUGAAAUGCAUAGAUAUCACGCAGAACCCCGAUUGCGAAGGCAGCAUACCGGUGCACAACUGACGCUCAGGCACGAAAGCGUGGGUAUCGAACAGGAUUAGAUACCCUUGUAGUC